UACGGGGGGGGGCAAGCGUUGUUCGGAAUUACUGGGCGUAAAGGGUUCGUAGGUGGCUUGUUAAGUCAGACGUGAAAUCCCUCGGCUCAACCGGGGAACUGCGUCUGAGACUGAUGAGCUCGAGUGCAGGAGAGGAACGCGGAAUUCCAGGUGUAGCGGUGAAAUGCGUAGAUAUCUGGAGGAACACCGGUGGCGAAGGCGGCGUCUGGACUGCAACUGACACUGAGGAACGAAAGCCAGGGGAGCAAACAGG
rnacentral:rRNA from 1 species